GGCCGCGGGAAUUCGAUUCAGGCCUAACACAUGCAAGUCGAGCGAACCCUUCGGGGUGAGCGGCGGACGGGUGAGUAACGCGUGGGUAACCUGCCCUGUACACACGGAUAACAUACCGAAAGGUAUGCUAAUACGAGAUAAUAUGUAAUGAUCGCAUGGUCGAUACAUCAAAGCUCCGGCGGUACAGGAUGGACCCGCGUCUGAUUAGCUAGUUGGUGAGGUAAUGGCUCACCAAGGCGACGAUCAGUAGCCGACCUGAGAGGGUGAUCGGCCACAUUGGAACUGAGACACGGUCCAAACUCCUACGGGAGGCAGCAGUGGGGAAUAUUGAAAGGUGGGCGAAAGCCUGAUGCAGCAACGCCGCGUUAUUAAUGGGGCCUUCGGGUCGUAAAGCUCUGUCCUCAAGGAAGAUAAUGAC
rnacentral:rRNA from 1 species